UUGCGGCUGGAUCCCCUCCUUUCUAAGGAAGAACCCUAAUGGGGUCCCCGCCAGCGACGCGGCUUUUAGCCGAGGAGCUUAAGGGCGGGGCAAAAGACCCCUUUCGGUUCUCUUGGAACAAGACGGAAGAGAGUCACUCUUACCGUCGCGCAUACCUAAAGCGGGUCUGCCGCCUUCGUUUCUCUUUCUUCAGCGAAUGACUUUGGAUCAGCGCUCGCGCGCCGUACCGCAGCCCUUUGGGCUGCUGGCGCUCCGCGAGGGCGCGGCACGAGCCGCGACGGCCACCUGCUAUUCAGAUCUGGCGGCCUUGCGAGGCUUCACCUCGAGGUCAACAGCUUGUUACGGGCAGAGCGCGGUCUUUAGGGCUUGUAGCUCAGUUGGUUAGAGCGCGCGCUUGAUAAGCGUGAGGUCGGAGGUUCAAGUCCUCCCAGGCCCACCACUAACAGCAACCCGAAGGGUUGUCACUUGCCGGUCGAUGCGAUCGGGCACUAUCAGGGGCCGUAGCUCAGCUGGGAGAGCGCCUGCUUUGCAAGCAGGAUGUCGUCGGUUCGAUCCCGUCCGGCUCCACCAACCAUCUUCUGUGAAGGUGGGACGUGUAGAGUAGAGAUGAUCGCCGGUGGUCAGUCAUUCGAAAAGAGUUUGCGUUAAGCCUCGUGCUUGGCGCCUGUUCUGUUUGACAUCGUAAAGAGAAGAUUUGUUCGAACUUCAUGAUCCGAAAGGGCCAUGAUUUGUCGCAAGGGACGCUCAAUCCCUUGCCUAUGAUGGGUCUGCCUAACCGCGCCCUCGAACGGAUCUCGAGAAGCUGGUCUUUUUGUGCCAAUUCCAUUGAAGCGGGUCCCGCACAGGAUCUGGUUCGAGCGACAAUCCUUCGGAUUGCGCUUAGCUAACCUCGUAAGGGAGAGGCUGAAGCGACGAUUUCUUCGAAAUCGCGCGAUGGGUAUUGGCAAUGAGAACGAUCAAGUGUCUUAAGGGCAAUUGGUGGAUGCCUUGGCAUGCACAGGCGAUGAAGGACGUGAUACGCUGCGAUAAGCUACGGGGAGGUGCGAAUACCCUUUGAUCCGU
rnacentral:misc_RNA from 1 species